CCUACGGGAGGCAGCAGUAGGGAAUUUUCGGCAAUGGGGGGAACCCUGACCGAGCAACGCCGCGUGAACGAAGAAGUUAUUCGUAAUGUAAAGUUGUUUAACAGGGAAGAAAGAGAAAUUUGACGGUACCUGAAGAAUAAGCUCCGGCUAACUACGUGCCAGCAGCCGCGGUAAUACGUAGGGAGCGAGCGUUAUCCGGAAUUAUUGGGCGAAAAGGGUGCGUAGAUGGCAUAGUAAGUCUUUUGUAAAAAUGCUGGGCUCAACCCAGUAGGGCAAAAGAUACUGCAAAGCUAGAGUAUGACAGAGGCAAGUGGAACUACAUGUGUAGCGGUAAAAUGCGUAAAUAUAUGUAAGAACACCAGUUGCGAAGGCGGCUUGCUGGGUCGAUACUGACAUUGAGGCACGAAAGCGUGGGGAGCAAACAGGAUUAGAUACCCCUGUAGUC
rnacentral:rRNA from 1 species